rnacentral:rRNA from 1 species
UGGUGUAGCGGUGAAAUGCUUAGAGAUCAUACAGAACACCGAUUGCGAAGGCAGCUUACCAAACUAUAUCUGACGUUGAGGCACGAAAGCGUGGGGAGCAAACAGGAUUAGAUACCCUGGUAGUCCACGCAGUAAACGAUGAUAACUCGUUGUCGGCGAUACACAGUCGGUGACUAAGCGAAAGCGAUAAGUUAUCCACCUGGGGAGUACGUUCGCAAGAAUGAAACUCAAAGGAAUUGACGGGGGCCCGCACAAGCGGAGGAACAUGUGGUUUAAUUCGAUGAUACGCGAGGAACCUUACCCGGGCUUGAAAGUUAGCGACGAUUCUUGAAAGAGGAUUUCCCUUCGGGGCGCGAAACUAGGUGCUGCAUGGUUGUCGUCAGCUCGUGCCGUGAGGUGUCGGGUUAAGUCCCAUAACGAGCGCAACCCCUACCGUUAGUUGCCAUCAGGUGAAGCUGGGCACUCUGGCGGGACUGCCGGUGUAAGCCGAGAGGAAGGUGGGGAUGACGUCAAAUCAGCACGGCCCUUACGUCCGGGGCUACACACGUGUUACAAUGGUAGGUACAGAGGGCAGCUACCCAGCGAUGGGAUGCGAAUCUCGAAAGCCUAUCUCAGUUCGGAUUGGAGGCUGAAACCCGCCUCCAUGAAGUUGGAUUCGCUAGUAAUCGCGCAUCA